AAACAACACCUGGUUUAAAACCGUUUAUUCAAUAACAUGUCUUGAUACAUUCGGGGAAACAAAUAGUGUACAAUAUGUUGGUCAGGUUGUACCUGACAUAUUCAAACGUUGAUCACAGAAAUAGAUUACGAGUACCCAAACUAAAAAAUAUUUUGUUUUUAGUGUUCUUGGACAAGAUGACUUUCUAUGACAGGGUGGCUAGUUUUGUACUAGAAACUCCACAAAAUACACGAAAUAUAAAGUGAGAACAAAAGGUCUGAAUGGAAGAAAUACAUGGAAAGAAUACAGCACAAGAAAUACAUCAAUUUGUACAAUGUAUAGCAUUUUUUAACAGCGACUUCUGGCUACAGUCAAACCCAGACACCAUCAGAACACAGUACGUACAAUGUUUGACACCGUAAAACCAACGGUCCUUAACUUAGGAAGGUUAGAAAAGACUACUAGUAGUUUUAUUUGUCCUGAUA